ACAGUGGUGUAACGGUCCAAAUAAGAAUCAGCUAAUGGAGCAACAAGGAGUGGGAGCAUAGACGUAAUACCACACCAAUUGUUAACCUUCUUUGCCGCCGCUGAAUUGCUCAUUUUGGCUACAUCUGUUAGAUAUGUCACUAAGUUUGAUGCCACUCCUUUGAAUGCAAACCUCUCCAUUCCCGCUAUCACUGCCCAAUUACAAAACAUUUCACUCAUUUUGGCCACAUCUGUUAGAUAUGUCACUAAAUUUGACGCCACCCCUUUGAAUGCAAACCUCUCCAUUCCCGCUAUCACUGCUCAAUUACAAAACACUUCCAUGUAAAUAUGCAAGAAUAAAGACAAGUUAGAAUUACGAAGCAAAAA
rnacentral:lncRNA from 1 species